rnacentral:rRNA from 1 species
AUGGACCCGGACUUCUCCCGGGCGAGCGGCGGCCCGAGCUUCGAGUUCGCCUUCAACUCGGUCAACUUCUCCGACCGGGUCCUGCGGAUCGAGAUCGUCGCCGGGGACGACGCGCCGGGGGCCAAGGGCGCCGCGGGCGAGGGGUGCUCCUCCAUCGCCGACUGGGCGCGCCACCGCAAGCGCCGCAGGGAGGACCUCCGCCGCGACAAAGGUGGGGAAGGUUGGCCUACGUCUCGUCAUCAUUUCGAAUGUGGAAAGUAUAUGUCAGAACCAGCAAACAUCAAAAUUGAAGCAGAUGAACGUGAUACCUAUGAGGAAACCAACGAGGAGCCUGUAGCUAUGAUAGAAGAAUCUCCACCUGAUAUUGGACAAGAUGGUGAGGAUGGAGAAAGCAGUGACUCAUCCUGGAAUAUGGAGUGCAAUCAGGUUUUGAGAGUGAAGUCUAUAUAUAUCAGCUCUGCGAUUCUAGCUGCAAAAAGUCCCUUCUUUUACAAGCUUUUCUCAAAUGGCAUGAAAGAAUCCGACCAGAGGCAUGCAACUCUUAGAAUAACUGCUUCAGAGGAAAGUGCCCUUAUGGAGCUUUUAAGUUUUAUUUACAGUGGAAAGUUGACGACCAAUCAGCCAACCCUUCUGCUUGAUAUCUUGAUGAUGUCUGACAAAUUUGAAGUUGUUUCUUGCAUGAGACACUGCAGUCAACUACUAAGAAGCUUACCUAUGACCACAGAAUCUGCACUUCUCUAUCUAGAUCUGCCUUCCAGCAUUUCAAUGGCUGCAGCAGUUCAGCCACUGACUGAUGCUGCCAAGGAAUUCCUCGCCAACAAAUACAAGGAUUUGACUAAGUUUCAGGAUGAAGUGAUGAACAUCCCCCUUGCUGGGAUUGAAGCCAUCUUAUGUAGUAAUGACCUUCAGGUGGCAUCAGAGGACGCAGUCUAUGACUUCGUGAUCAAAUGGGCUCGUGCUCAAUACUCAAGAACGGAAGAAAGACGUGAAGUCUUGGGGACUCGUUUGCUGCCACUUGUUAGGUUUUCUCAUAUGACCUGCAGGAAGUUGCGGAAGGUCCUUGCAUGCAGUGAUCUGGAUAAUGAGCAAGCAACUAAAAGUGUCACUGAUGCACUCCUGUACAAAGCUGAUGCACCACAUCGACAGCGCGCCCUUGCUACAGAUGUGUUGACCUCUAGGAAAUAUACUGAACGAGCUUACAAAUAUCGCCCACUUAAGGUGGUGGAAUUUGACCGACCGUAUCCUCAAUGCAUAGCAUACUUGGAUCUGAAGCGCGAGGAGUGUGGCCGACUAUUCCCAUCUGGGCGGAUUUACUCGCAAGCAUUCCAUCUUGCUGGACAGGGAUUCUUCCUCUCAGCACAUUGCAACAUGGAUCAGCAAAGCGCUUUCCACUGCUUUGGUCUCUUCUUGGGGAUGCAAGAGAAAGGCUCAACGAGUGUUACCGUGGACUACGAGUUUGCUGCAAGGACAAGGCCAUCGGGUGAGUUUGUCAGUAAGUACAAGGGCUGCUACACCUUCACUGGUGGAAAGGCGGUUGGCUACCGCAAUCUCUUCGCAAUUCCCUGGCCGUCGUUUAUGGCUGAUGAUAGCCUCUUCUUCAUCAAUGGGGUACUACAUCUGAGAGCAGAAUUGACCAUAAAGCAACUCUAG